rnacentral:lncRNA from 1 species
AUGUAUUAAAAAUCUCAAAUACGGAAGCGUAAUAAAAAUUUUGAUUAACAUCCCUUACACAAUAACCAAAAUGUACUCAAAACAUGAAGGAACAAACUAACUAAAAGAGAUACUCGAAAUAAGAACUAUAAAUAUAACUAUGAAGUAUUUAGGCAUCCCCUUCGCCGUCUUCCUGCAGAACGGGCUCGGGAACAAUGUCUUCCUGAUCUGAAAUGGUUAAAUAAGGAAUGAACUACACCAGCCCAGUAAAGACAUCACACUAUCUCACCGCCACGGAAGUAAAGGUGGGUAGUAAACAAAAAUGACCAAAAGAGCAUAAUUUAUAACA